CCACAGGCUCCUUUUGGAGCCAGGCACCUACCCAAAAGGAGUUCA
rfam:Picoides pubescens contig18498, whole genome shotgun sequence.